CCUACGGGGGGCAGCAGUGGGGAAUAUUGCACAAUGGGGGAAACCCUGAUGCAGCGACGCCGCGUGAGCGAAGAAGUAUCUCGGUAUGUAAAGCUCUAUCAGCAGGGAAGAAAAUGACGGUACCUGACUGAGAAGCCCCGGCUAACUACGUGCCGGCAGCCGCGGUAAUACGUAGGGGGCAAGCGUUAUCCGGAUUUACUGGGUGUAAAGGGAGCGCAGGCGGUGCGGCAAGUCUGAUGUGAAAGCCCGGGGCUCAACCCCGGGACUGCAUUGGAAACUACCGAACUAGAGUGUCGGAGAGGUAA
rnacentral:rRNA from 1 species